UUGCUCCUUUGACGUUAGCGGCGGACGGGAGGGUAACACGUGGGUAACCUACCUAUAAGACUGGGAUAAUUUCGGGAAACCGGAGCUAAUACCGGAUAAUAUUUCGAACCGCAUGGUUCGAUAGUGAAAGAUGGUUUUGCUAUCACUUAUAGAUGGACCCGCGCCGUAUUAGCUAGUUGGUAAGGUAACGGCUUACCAAGGCGACGAUACGUAGCCGACCUGAGAGGGUGAUCGGCCACACUGGAACUGAGACACGGUCCAGACUCCUACGGGAGGCAGCAGUAGGGAAUCUUCCGCAAUGGGCGAAAGCCUGACGGAGCAACGCCGCGUGAGUGAUGAAGGUCUUCGGAUCGUAAAACUCUGUUAUUAGGGAAGAACAUACGUGUAAGUAACUAUGCACGUCUUGACGGUACCUAAUCAGAAAGCCACGGCUAACUACGUGCCAGCAGCCGCGGUAAUACGUAGGUGGCAAGCGUUAUCCGGAAUUAUUGGGCGUAAAGCGCGCGUAGGCGGUUUUUUAAGUCUGAUGUGAAAGCCCCACGGCUCAACCGUGGAGGGUCAUUGGAAACUGGAAAACUUGAGUGCAGAAGAGGAAAGUGGAAUUCCAUGUGUAGCGGUGAAAUGCGCAGAGAUAUGGAGGAACACCAGUGGCGAAGGCGACUUUCUGGUCUGUAACUGACGCUGAUGUGCGAAAGCGUGGGGAUCAAACAGGAUUAGAUACCCUGGUAGUCCACGCCGUAAACGAUGAGUGCUAAGUGUUAGGGGGUUUCCGCCCCUUAGUGCUGCAGCUAACGCAUUAAGCACUCCGCCUGGGGAGUACGACCGCAAGGUUGAAACUCAAAGGAAUUGACGGGGACCCGCACAAGCGGUGGAGCAUGUGGUUUAAUUCGAAGCAACGCCGAAGAAACCUUACCAAAUCUUGACAUCCUUUGACAACUCUAGAGAUAGAGCCUUCCCCUUCGGGGGACAAAGUGACAGGUGGUGCAUGGUUGUCGUCAGCUCGUGUCGUGAGAUGUUGGGUUAAGUCCCGCAACGAGCGCAACCCUUAAGCUUAGUUGCCAUCAUUAAGUUGGGCACUCUAAGUUGACUGCCGGUGACAAACCGGAGGAAGGUGGGGAUGACGUCAAAUCAUCAUGCCCCUUAUGAUUUGGGCUACACACGUGCUACAAUGGACAAUACAAAGGGCAGCGAAACCGCGAGGUCAAGCAAAUCCCAUAAAGUUGUUCUCAGUUCGGAUUGUAGUCUGCAACUCGACUACAUGAAGCUGGAAUCGCUAGUAAUCGUAGAUCAGCAUACUACGGUGAAUACGUUCCCGGGUCUUGUACACACCGCCCGCCACACCACGAGAGUUUGUAACACCCGAAGCCGGUGGAGUAACCAUUUGGAGCUAGC
rnacentral:rRNA from 1 species